UCCGUGUUAACCACGGCAGUCUCUUUAGAGUGCCCAACUUAAUGCUGGCAACUAAAGACAAGGGUUGCGCUCGUUGCGGGACUUAACCCAACAUGUCACCACACGAGCUGACGACAGCCAUGCAGCACCUGUCUUCCUGUUGUAUUGCUACAAAAACCGUAUCUCUACGGCUGUCAGGAGAUGUCAAACCCAGGUAAGGUUCUUCGCGUUGCUUCGAAUUAAACCACAUGAUCCACCGCUUGUGCGGGCCCCCGUCAAUUCCUUUGAGUUUUAGUCUUGCGACCGUACUUCCCAGGCGGGGAACUUAUCGCGUUAGCUACGGCUCAGAGGGGGUCAAGACCCACCAAACCUAGUUCCCAUCGUUUACAGCGUGGACUAC
rnacentral:misc_RNA from 1 species